rnacentral:rRNA from 1 species
CCUACGGGGGGCUGCAGUGGGGAAUAUUGGACAAUGGGGGCAACCCUGAUCCAGCCAUGCCGCGUGUGUGAAGAAGGCCCUCGGGUUGUAAAGCACUUUCAGUGAGGAAGAACGCCUGGUGGUUAAUACCCAUCAGGGAAGACAUCACUCACAGAAGAAGCACCGGCUAACUCCGUGCCAGCAGCCGCGGUAAUACGGAGGGUGCGAGCGUUAAUCGGAAUUACUGGGCGUAAAGCGCGCGUAGGUGGCUUGAUAAGCCGGUUGUGAAAGCCCCGGGCUCAACCUGGGAACGGCAUCCGGAACUGUCAAGCUAGAGUGCAGGAGAGGAAGGUAGAAUUCCCGGUGUAGCGGUGAAAUGCGUAGAGAUCGGGAGGAAUACCAGUGGCGAAGGCGGCCUUCUGGACUGACACUGACACUGAGGUGCGAAAGCGUGGGUAGCAAACAGGAUUAGAUACCCUAGUAGUC